AAAUUGAAGAGUUUGAUCAUGGCUCAGAUUGAACGCUGGCGGCAGGCCUAACACAUGCAAGUCGAACGGUAACAGGAAGAAGCUUGCUUCUUUGCUGACGAGUGGCGGACGGGUGAGUAAUGUCUGGGAAACUGCCUGAUGGAGGGGGAUAACUACUGGAAACGGUAGCUAAUACCGCAUAACGUCGCAAGACCAAAGAGGGGGAGCUUCGGGCCUCUUGCCAUCGGAUGUGCCCAGAUGGGAUUAGCUAGU
rnacentral:rRNA from 1 species